GUCUUUUUUUGGAAGGCAUUUAUUAUUCUACAUAUUAUAAGGUUUUUUUUUCAUAUAUAUAUUUAUAAGUCACCCCCUCCCACCCCAUGCCAUACUAACCAUACCAUAUCAUCAUUCUCUACAUUCUCAUCAUCAUUAUCAUCCUUCAUCUCUUUUUCUCUCUCUCCUCUCUCCUUCUCUCUCUCAACCCCCUUGAAGAUAGGCGAUGCUCUUGGGGGACAGAGAGAUAAAAGAGAUCAGAGAAACAAACACACACAUACAUAAAAAGAGAUACACUCAUUCAUGGAUAAAUUAUUGUAGCUAGGGUUUCGAAGAUGUUGAAGGAGAAGAGGAGCUUUAGCUUUUGAGGGGAAUGUUGUCUGGCUCGAGGACACUUUCCUUGAUCUAUAAUCUCUGGAUCAACAACCGUUAUAUACCUAUACAUAUAUCUAUAUAUGUGUAUGUGUUUGUAUAUGUUGUGUGUAUCAUCUGCAUACAUAGAUGAUCAGGUUAAGUAGUGUCGUCGGACCAGGCUUCAUUCCCCCCAAUUCAUGGCUUCCGAUCCAUACGGAGACCUUUUUUCCAGGGCAGAUGGGUUCUUCAUCUGAAGAUUGGUGUAAUGAGGAGUAUCUUGACUACUUUUGUUUUUCAUCGACUUCGCAUAAAAGGUUUGAUGAUUGCUGGAUCUCCUUUUCAUUUAUUUUUGUUCUUGUUUGAAUCAUCAUGCUGUGAUGAUUGUAGCCUAAUGAUGCCUUCCAGUAUCUGAUCUGUCUGCUUCUGCCAUUUUUUCAGAUCUGCCCCCCUUUUUAUUAUUUUUGUUCAUUAAAAAAAAUAACUUUGGUAGACAUUCCCUCCUCUCUUUCACGUUAUAAUUCUCUCUCUUAGGGUUUCGUGGGUCUAGAUUUAUUAAGCUACGAUAUAUCUAAACAAAUCUUUUAGAAAAUAGCAAAUUAAUUUUAUGCUUAGGAGAACAAGCAAAAAAAUGACACCCUUUCUGACACUGUUCAAAUGCCUAUUUUCAUCUGUCAAAAAUAUAUAAAUAUAAAAUUAGCUUCCCUGAACACCCAUCUGUUUCGGACUCUUAAUCUAACGCUAUUAGUCAGUAAUCCUUUUGCAGUCUUGAUUAUAAAGUAUAAUAAUGCAUAAAUAGAUUAGUACUUUCCUAUUUUCUCAGAUCAGUCUAUUAUUCUCACACUUUUACCUGUUAGCUUUGAUAAUGUUUCUGUUAGACAUCUCAUGUAUCUUGAACUUGUUUCUUUCCAAAUGUGAUGAGCAUAUGAAAAUGUAGGUUCAGCAGAAAGUACGAAUACUAUAACCUUGGGAAAGUGCUUGUCCAAAAGGAAAUCUGUUCACUUGCCUUUUCCUUUAGAUUAUUUUCUUUACCAAUUGACACCAAUUUGAAACCCUAAUAUUGUUUAUCUUGGAGUUACUGUGAAUGUUGUGAACUUGUGUUUGUCAAAGCUUUAGUCCCCCACAAUGAUUUAACUCCACCUUGGUUUUUGCCCUUUAUUAUGGCUUUAUAUGACUAAACUGCGGUUGUUCAAAGAGUCAAUGGAGCUUAAUUAGAACCCAACCAGCGCUGAAAACUAAAGGUGAGUAGUUUGAUUGUAUGAACAUUUCUUUUUUGUUUCAGUAAUUUAUAUACUAGACAAGAAAAGUUGUGCAGGUAUCCAUGAUGCUCCAUCAAGUUUCAAAGUAUCAUUAACUAAUUUGAUCAAUUGUUUGUGAGAAUUUUCUCAAGUUUAAGAAUUCCCUUUGUAUUCUUGAAGGGCAGCUGAUUAAUCCCAGAUUUAAAAAUGUUUUUGGUUGUAGAGGAGGAUUUCAAACCCUUGCUGGAUUAACCCAGUGGUUUAAUCCCAGACUUAAAUUGAUGCGUAAUCAGUCUAGUGUAAUUUGUAUCUCCUUUAAUAACUUUCCUUCAUAUUUGCAUCUAUAAUUUGCUACUUGAGAACCUCCCAAAUGAAUAGAGAGAAUUAAAAAGUUGAAUACAAGGUUCUGGAAGAAGAGUUGUCAUGGCUUCUAAGAACACACAUGGUAGAUGCCACUGCUCUAAUGUAAAAUCCAAGGAAACCUCUCUUUCUCUCUCUCUCUCUCUCUCUCUCUCAUUACACACACUCAGAAAGACCAUCACAUUCAUCUUCAGAUGCUUGAUAUUAUUAAUAGGGUCCUUAUUAAUACAUGGGGUCUGCUUGUGUCCCUCCUUUUAGAAUUUUACUGUUAGUUUCCCUCUCACAAAACCCUACUUGUAAGAAAAGUCAAUCCGUGAAAAAAGCAGCUGGUUUGGAAUCAAGGAAGCAAUCUCAAAUGCUAGCAAUCAAUUACUUUUCUUGUGGCUGCAAUCACAAAUCUAUUUCCUUGUUUUCAUUGCUUGAUGCUUCUCCUUUUUCGUGACCCUUCUUAGUUAGUGUUAAUUUCCCCGGAAAGGGAUUAAGAUUAACGUAUGAAUGCCGACUCACUGUCACAAGAGUUCCUUUUGGGAAAUUGAAUCUUUUUUGACCUUUGCAAACAUAAAAGUAAAGCCUUUAUUAUUGCUUUCUUUGUGCCCAAAACUUUCCCCACACCCACAGACACAGAGAAAGAAGAAGGAGAUGAGGUUGGAGUCAUCAGCUGUCCUUUAGGGCGAGCUCCAAUGAAAGCUUUUUGUGCAUGGCCACAACUUUCGAUGAAUAAUUGCGGUGUGAUUGUUCCACUUGACCAAGACUUCUUAGGUUUUAGUUAAUUCGGUAAGCUUUGGUAUAGGAGUACUUUGGAUUAUUGUUCCUAGCUAUAUAGCUAGCUAUUAGAUCGAUGUGCAUGGGAAGUUUGGGCUAUUGGUCCUAGCGGAUGGGAACUUGUGGUGGACCUCGUAUUCGUAAUAGCGCCAUACAAAUAUAGGUGCUGUGGUACUACUUACAGUUGUUCGAACUUAUUAAAUCCUCAUUGAGUCAUGAAUUGGUAAUAGGGUAAUAAUUGGAGACCACCUGUGUAUCAUGACAUCACGUGUGUAUUCUCACAUGUAUUGUGAUGUGAAAGUUAUAGAACACUCCAACUUCUCUUGAA